GACAGAGGGUGCAGACGUUGCUCGGAAUCACUGGGCGUAAAGGGUGCGUAGGCGGGUCUUUAAGUCAGGGGUGAAAUCCUGGAGCUCAACUCCAGAACUGCCUUUGAUACUGAAGAUCUUGAGUUCGGGAGAGGUGAGUGGAACUGCGAGUGUAGAGGUGAAAUUCGUAGAUAUUCGCAAGAACACCAGUGGCGAAGGCGGCUCACUGGCCCGAUACUGACGCUGAGGCACGAAAGCGUGGGGAGCAAACAGG
rnacentral:rRNA from 1 species